rnacentral:lncRNA from 1 species
GCCUCCACCCCCGCCCCCACUGCCUCCCCAACCCCCUGCCCUGGGCUUAAGUGAUCUGCCCACCUCAACUUCCCAAGUAGCUGGGUCUACAGACACGUCACCCACACCUAGCUAAUUUUUGUAUUUUUUGUAGAGACUGGGUCUUCCAUGUUGCCCAGGCUGAUCUUGAACUCCUGGGCUCAAGCAAUAAGCCUGUCUCAGCCCCCUAAAUUGCUGGGAUUACAGGUGUCAGUCAUCACACCCAGCCUAACCUGCUAUUUUUAUUUGGUAUUAUGUAAUAAACAUUUGCCCUAUAAUAUUAUAAAACUCUUGGUAAACAUUUUCAAUGUCUGUGAUGUAUUUUCUGUAAAGCAAUGCCAUAGUUUUUAGGUUUUUGGUUUUUUUUUUUUUUUUGGCGGGGGGAGGGGGGGUGGGUCUCAUUCUAUUGCCCAGGCUGGAAUGCAGUAGUGUGAUCAUGGCUCUCUGCAGCCUUGACCUUCUGGGCUCAAGUGAUCCUCCCACCUCAACCUCCCAAGUAGCUGGAAUCACAGGUAUGCAACAUCACAUCCAGCUAAUUUUUUGAUUUUUUUUUUUUUUGAGACAAGGUCUUGCUACCUUGGCCAGGCUGGUCUCAAACUCCUGGGCUCAAGUGAUCUGCCCACAUCAGCCUCUCAAAGUGCUGGGAUUACAGGUGUAAGAAGUAGGCUUGGACAUUUAGUUUCGUUUUCAGGUUUUUUCUUUGACAAAUAAUACUGUUACAAAUAUCUUUGUACAGAAUUAUUUCCCAUGAUUCUUAUUUCCUUGGGGUAGAUUUUUAGUCAUGGAAAUUCUGGACACAGUGUGUGAACAUUUUAAAAUCUCUCAAUAAUCCCUUGAUACUUAUGGCCUGAGUGACUUUCUGAGAUGGCUUUCUGGUGUGUCCAGUCGCAGUUAUGGCCUCGUCCUUGCAGCUGUGUGGAGAUAUGGGAGUUACAGAAGAAGAGAAGGUGGGCAUGGAGUGUUUUGAAUCACACGGCUCUGGGGUUCUUACUAAUCACAGGGCUGUGGCCACAUGGCCUCAUCCUCCUGAGAUUCAUUUCCUCGUCCGUGUGAUGGAAGUGAUAAUACUACCCUCAAGCAGUUUUGUGAGGACCAAGGCCCGUGAAUGUGCAGCACACAGCUCAGGGUCUGGCACACAGAAGAGCACAGCAAUUGUUUAUCGCGAUAGCAUGGCAUCUCCUUGGUUGGGACUGGUGUAAACGUUUGGCCUCUGGAAGCUGAAGCUGCAGAGUGAGACCCACCAACCCAGGCAUGUGUGUCCCUACAUUGACCCAGCCAGGGCCCCCAGGAUCCCUUCAGACAGAUGGGCAGAAAGCAAAAACCAACACCAAGGUCCGAGACCAGAGAAGAAGUUCCUGGGUGUCCUUCGAACUUGGACAACCUCUGGCCUGGCAGUGUCCUGAAGAAAUUGACAACCCUCCAUCUGGACCUCCGCAUAAGUUUAAAAACCUAGCAACAUAGCUCCUCUGCAGGAGACAGGAGACAAGUGCUGGUGUAACCGAGUCUCUUGGAACAAUGGGAAGCCUUUCGGGAGGAUUAUUGGAAGAAAAUCCAGAGGGAGGGGGCUUGCUUAAAGAGAGUGACCACAGCCAGAGCAGAGCAGAGUGGUGGGGGAGGAGUGGGGGGGGGAGGGGUGGGGGGAGGGAGGCAGGGGGUGUGGACAGAGGGAGCGUGGGUGAGAGGAGUGCCAAGGUGGGAGGUGCCCAGUGGGGAGUCCCAAGGCAGGGCAAGGAUUGUCUUGGGCUCCCUGCCAUUCACCCCAUCCCUUAAUGAAGAUUAGAAAAUGUCGCCUGCUUUGGCUGAUGAAGUCUCAUGUUUAUAUUGCUUGGCUAGAAGAAUAAGGUCUUGUUUUCAGACCUCACUCAUUCCCUUGGCUGGAUACGCUUGUGUUUCAGGUUGGGUUCUGCAGAAGCAGAAACACUGAGACAGAAUUUGAGGUACGUGAUGUUUAUUAGUGGUCAACAGCUAGGAAAGGAGCGGGGAAGCAGGCUUGGGCAGAGGGAAGCUGACCUGUGCUGCAGCUCAGCAAAGUCUCAGCUAAACCAGCAGUGUUCAUCAAAGUUGUCCAGCAUCAGAUCUAAGUGGAUGGGCCUCUAUACUCCUGCCACCAUCAGUCACCAGAUGUAGGCUACCCCAGCAACGGCAUAACCUGAGAUGAGGUGGCCCUCAGCAGUGGAGGCAGGCUCUGCAGGAACUGAAAGCUGAGACUGUCUGAUGACCUCUCUCCCUGCAGCUGAGCAGCAGGUCCUUCCUUGAAGGGGGAAUCUGGGCUGCACAUCUCCAUGUCUAUCACACUUUAAGCAGUGAACCACCCUCUCAACUGUACAUGGCAGAGAGACAAACUUUAGAGAAUACAAACCUAUGCUUUGGACAGAUGCUUUAAUAAAUGUGGAUAGGGAAAAUAAGUCAUUGUGUUUGUACUAAAGGAGUCCCAAUUAGGAGAGUCAGAUUCUCUGAGUCCAUUGCUUCCUGAUUUUCUGGCCUGGCAGUUUUGAAAUAUCUGGCUUGUCAUAUUUCACCACUUCCCUCCCCUCCUGCUGUGCUAGCUCCUGGGCCUGGUAAUAUGCUUCUGCUGGAUGAAGGUGCCACGUUGUUCUGUUUAAAGCAAAGAGCAUUGUUUCCCUUCUUUUCCUAUUUCUGUGGGAUUUGGCCAUGAGGCCUUGAAGUCAGGAGUAAGGAGGUAGCCCGAAAGACAUGGGACCUGAGUCCUCAAGAGGAGGAUGCAUCUGGCUUCAAGGCCUUUAGUGCCCUGCUAGUUCCCUUAGCUUGAAGUCCAAACCCUCAGCCUGGCAUGAAGUGCCUGAUGAGCUGGGCUGCUUCCUCCCAGCCUGGCACAGAGUGGGGGCUCAGUGAGUAAGAAUGAGGAAAAAUACCAGGCACAGUUGCUCACACCUGUAAUCCCAGGACUUUGGGAGGCCAAGGUAGGUGGGUCACCUGAGGUCGGGAGUUCUAGACCAGCCUGACCAAUAUGGAGAAACCCCGUCUCUACUAAAAAUAUAAAAUUAGCCGGGGGUGGUGUCGCAUGCCUGUAGUCCCAACUACUCGGGAGGCUGAGGCAGGAGAAUCUCUUGAACCCAGGAGGCGGAGGUUGUGGUGAGCCGAGAUCGUGCCAUUG